CAUUAUCCUUAUUAUUAUUACCACUCUUUUGUCUGCCUGAAGCUGGUUCACAGUUCUUAGACAUGUGGCUUCCUGUGAUGUUGACAAAGCAUUCCAAUGAGCCAGUGAAUUUUCCAAAUUUGUUCUCCAGGUAUUUUCACAUCCUUAGAGAGGUGAUGGGGAAAAGCCAAACCCAAGCUGCCUGCAGCCAAAAUGAACAGUGGGCACAUUCCUGAAUCCAGCACUAUUUAAUCCUUCGGGGGUGAGCUCAAAGAGGACUGUGGGUCUUGAUUAAAGGUUUCAGUCUCCACCAAAGUACAGGGCCUGUUGUGAAAUCCAGCAUAUUUGUACAUAUUUAAAAAUACCUCUCCUCCUGCCAACCCCUCUUUCCCCAAGACUCUGCUCCGAGACGACUUUCUCUGGAAAGCCUCUCACCACCCCGUCCAGGCCACAGCCCACCCUAAGACUGUGUUCUUCUCCUUGUGUUCCUGGGCCCUGGGCAGAGUCACAGCACAACACCCGAGUUCCUAGGGCUGAUGUUCAGUGCAGUAGCACUAGUCCUGUGUGGCAAUUUGAAUCUGUACUGAAAUUAAUGCAGAUGUGACACAUGCUCGCCACACUUUGAGUCCUCAGUAGCCACCAGUGGGUAUCAUGGUGGGCAGCACAGAUCUGUGCUAUUUGUCAUUAUAGAACCUUCUAUGGGACAGGGCUGCCCUAGCAGGGCGGAAGCAUGUUCUUUCUUAGUUUGGGACUCGCAGGGGGCUGAAGAGACAGCCUUGAGAAGCGGGCGGAUCCCAGUUCGAAUCCCAGCUGCUGAUCUUACAAGCUGUGUGACUUAGCAACGUUCAACUUCUCUGUGCCUGUCUCACUCCGUGGGGUCUUGAGGGCCGUGUAAGUUAAUGCAUACAAAGGGCUUCAGAGAAGCAAGGGUAACACACAGUGAGCACCAUGCAGGAGUUGGCUUCUGUCAUCUGCCUGCCCUUGGAAAGCAGCCAGCGCACAGUAGGCCCUGUUAAAUGUUUGCUGUUGCCUGAGCAAAUGAAUGAAAGAAUCAUUGGCGGCACAGACUUUAUUCUUGGCUCUAGUGAAAGCAGAAUACUUCUUUUGAAACCAAAUAUGAUUGCUAUUAACACUAGCUCCCACUUACUCAGCACUUACUGGGUACCAGGUGCUGCGCCCAGUGUGGUGUACACCUCUUCCCAGGGAGGCACCCAAGGGCUUACUAUUCUCAAGCCCCCUUUCACAGAUGAGAAACUGAGGCUCAGAGACAUGAAGCCAUUGUGCAGGGAGAAGCUGUGCAGCUUCAGUGGAGGU
rnacentral:lncRNA from 1 species